rnacentral:other from 1 species
AAAGCUCGACUUUGUGCGUGAUCUGCGACUUUAUUGAGCCAACACAUUGUAUUCGGGAGCCUGGACUUUCCCAACUGUCCAAGGGUAGCUGGGAAGCGGGCACCCACCUGCUGGAGCAGGUUCAAUAAACAGACAGACACGGCAGGGUGGGGCUUUC